ACCUGGCGCCCCACUGGCCGGCUCUGGGCCCAUCUUCCAGCACAGUGUUGGGUGGUCUAACCGGGAAGCUCCUAACACUGUCUGGUAAAGAUGGCUCCCGGGCUGGCACCCUCCACAGUGACCUU
rnacentral:pre_miRNA from 15 species